CACUGAGACAGUAUAUAGCAGGCACUAUUCCAAGCACUUAGCAUGAAUUAACACUUUUUAUCUGCAUGAAAACUUUGUGAAGCAGAGCCUAUCAAUAUCCUCAUUUUUACUGAUAAGGAACCUGGAACACAGAGAGGUUAAGUAACUUGUCCAAAGCCAUCCAGCAAAAAGUGGUGGAGGUCUGCAACCUCUUGGCCUCCUGUGUCCCCCUCAUCAGCGCCCGGCUCCCAGAGCCCCCUCUGGAGCCGCGGAUCCAGCCCCAGCACAUGGAGGGCUCCAGAUUCUGACCGAAGCGACUGCAUCGCUGUGGUUCUCGCCGUGAGUCACGGCGGGCCUGCACCGCCUUCCUAUCUGGGGAGCCGGAGAUGCCUUUAAUUCCCUCCAGCUGGGCCCUGCAGGGCUGAGGGCACCGUCUAGAAGUCGUUUCUGAUUAGACGUUGACCUCAGAAGUAUGCGCGCAUCAUUUUGAAAACAUCCGCCGGCACCACAGAAACCGACCCAGGAGGAGAAGGGACGCGGCGGACGCA